rfam:Schistosoma margrebowiei strain Zambia genome assembly, scaffold: SMRZ_contig0000400
AUUCAGCUGACGAGUCCCAAAUAGGACGAAACAGGCUUCCUGGAU